CGCCGGCGUGGCGAGGCCGAGCGCGCAGGGGCAGGCGAUCACCAGCACCGAGACGGCGGUGAUCACCGCCUGUUCCAGCCCUGCGCCGGCCGCCA
rnacentral:tRNA from 1 species